AUUUGGGGAGUAAAUAGAGGUAAUAGAAGCAUUUAUAGAAGGUAUAUAGGGCAUAUAUAGGUGUAUAAUGGCGUAUAUAGUUGAAUAAAAAGGAUUUGGGGAGUAAAUAGAGGUAAUAGAAGCAUUUAUAGAAGGUAUAUAGGGCAAAUAUAGG